GUAGAGCUGAGUAGGGAUGUAAAAGUGAGGCUCUUGGAUCAGGAGGGUGCUUCAGGGUCUCUCAGCUCCACGUGUAGACCUGGUGUUUAGGGAAGUUUACUUUUGAAGUGCCAUUUCGAUUGGGUUGACCCUCUCUACAAGGGAUUCCCCUCUCCUUCUGGAAGCUUUUGUUGCAGUUAGAUUUGAGCAUGGCUCUCCCUGCUUCUAGAGCUCCCUGGGAGGCCUCAUUCAGAGUCACAAAACUUUGGGUGGGAAGAAAGAUCCUGCUUUUCUGACCAGGGGAAUUGUAAAUGUGCAUCAAGAUGGAAACCACAGCUCUUGUGCUUGCCUGGAGAACCCUUCUUGUUUCAUGCUCAACAGAAGUCAGCAGUGACCUGUGCUGGAGUGCAGCGAUCCUGGCUGUGCUUGCUGAGAUGUUCAGCUGCUUUCAUAAAGAGAGACAGGUGUAUCCAGCUGGGACUCAUUCAGAAAGGAAGUACUGGCUACGUAUGUGGCAUGUUUUGGACAUCACUAGCUGUAAGUUUUGUGCUGGAAGUUUUGUCUCUGGGACUUAAAUGACAAAAUGGUGCAGUCAUACUUCACAUUGUAAGGAAAUGUCAGUCCUUCUACAAGUGAAAAAGUGGUAGAGAUCUAGUGACGUGAAUGAAAGUAGUUCAGCAAUGUUGAGCAACUACUAUUAAUUAAAUUGACUUGCAACUCAUUACUGGUGAUGUAGGAUAAAACUGGUAAACUUCCUUUGGCACAUAUCUAAGAUAGCAGUGCAAUAAAAUGAACUUGACUUAUGAUGCAAGGCUCCUGCCAGGAUUACUUAAAAGGCAGGAUGAAGAAGUGAAAACAUUUGUUUACAAAUAUGCUUAUUUUAGACUGUUGAGAAAUUGGAUUUUAUACUUAAUGUGCUCAAUUUUAAGCUUGACAUGAACAAUAAUAUAUGGCAAAUAAUUCCAAGGUUCCAGUUCAGGAAAGACAUUUUGAUUAGAGACUCAGAAUUGCAAGAAGGCAUAAAUGCAGCUCUAA